GUGAGUGUAGUUCAGUUGGUUGAGCUGGCUGUCGUAAAGGACGUUAAAUAUACGCAGGUUCGAAUCCUGCCAUUCACA
rfam:Leuconostoc citreum KM20, complete genome.